rnacentral:rRNA from 1 species
UGAGUAACCUGCCCUGGACUUUGGGAUAACCCUCGGAAACGGGGGCUAAUACCGGAUAUGACGCACUCUCGCAUGGGACGUGUGUGGAAAGUUUUUCGGUCUGGGAUGGGCUCGCGGCCUAUCAGCUAGUUGGUGUGGGUAAUGGCCCACCAAGGCGACGACGGGUAGCCGGCCUGAGAGGGUGACCGGCCACACUGGGACUGAGACACGGCCCAGACUCCUACGGGAGGCA